rnacentral:lncRNA from 1 species
UGACUAGCUCGUGCGGGGGUCCCCGUGUGUCCCCACGGAAUCCUGGCAUUCCUCGAUUUGAACGGCCGAACGCCACCUUUCAGUCUGACAAAUGCGAUUUGACAUGCGUGGGCUGUUGAUAGUACUCCCAGGCCAUGCUGAUUGCGCAGCUCGACAACUCAGUACUUGAUCCAGAAGCCUCCCGAUGCCCAGGUGGACAGACGCAUCGCAUCCAGCUGAACGAUCUGUGCUCCUUUAAAUACAUAUUUUCCCUUUGUGGCGUCCAAGGACCUGCAAGAGCGCUUGGAACCAUCGAAGCAUUGGUCGUGCUUCUAUCUGCAGGUGGCACAGAUGCCCGAGCCUGAGCCUGAGAAUGUGGACCCCAAGCACAACUCAAGCGCUCCAGAAGACACGAAGAGCGAUGUGAAGGAUGAGAGGGUGGUGUCUUGGUUGGAUGGAGUGGAUGGGAAGAGCUUGUUCACGGUAGGUUUUAGCACCUGAUUCCCCUGGCGUGAAGCAGUUCCCAAAAUCUCUGCAGAAUAUGACAAAGAAACUGAUGCAAAAAUACGAUUCUAGGAGCAGGCAAUAAACAACAGAUGUCACUCAUUCUAGAAAAGGAUCUGUGCCAAUCCUGCAAUGCUGUUGCACUCAAUACCAUUUUGCAAGAAGCAAGGAUGUCUUUGUGCAGGUGAGAGAGUUUGAACCCAGCGAAAGUGGCCUGACAGACGAUGAAGAUGAGGCAUGGGACAAGCGCAAAAGCUGCUGUUCAUUGAUGUAGCAGCCUGGAAUGGGGAAUUUGGCGGGUGCAGUUUUGAGGUACUUUCUAAUCAAGCAAAUUCUGUUUCAAUUUAUCAUGAAUGGAUCAAGAAUGUCAAGGUUACAGUCAAUGGCAGUUUCUUGAUGUCGAAGAGCUUCUGGAACUAUAGUCUUCUUCAAGAGCACCUGAGCAGGAAACUGUUGAUGUCAACAGUAGUGCUCUGCGUGGCCAGUUUGUCCAAUGUCAAAUGCAACAUGUGAGCGCUGCUAUCUAGUCCCAGACAGCAUGUUUUCCUAGGUGUAUCGGAAAACUGUUGUGCACAAGCUAUGUGCAAAAGAUUCCUCCAUUGAGAGGAUUUUGGUAUUAUUUGGCACCUGCAGGAAAUCCUGAAUAGCUCUUGUCAGGAAUCAUGUGUGGUUGCACCUGGGUAGCGCUACAUUGCCCUGAAUUUGCAUUGGAACUCUUUUUCUCGAACAACCUGAACUUUUCGUGUGAGGGCAUAUAUGCCUGUGUGGAUACAUACAGCACAUGUAUGUUUUAAUAGCAGGCAAUUAUUUUCACUGCUUCUGCAUAUUAGGGUGCGAUCCUUGUGUGAAGGAAUUUUAAAAUUAGGAUGACCUCAAUAUUAACAGUCAUAAUGAGAAG